rnacentral:rRNA from 1 species
UACAGAGGGGGCAAGCGUUAUUCGGAAUUAUUGGGCGUAAAGAGCUUGUAGGCGGUUUGUCGCGUCUGCUGUGAAAAUCCGGGGCUCAACCCCGGACUUGCAGUGGGUACGGGCAGGCUAGAGUGUGGUAGGGGAGACUGGAAUUCCUGGUGUAGCGGUGAAAUGCGCAGAUAUCAGGAGGAACACCGAUGGCGAAGGCAGGUCUCUGGGCCACUACUGACGCUGAGAAGCGAAAGCAUGGGGAGCGAAAAGG